rnacentral:rRNA from 1 species
GACGAACGCUGGCGGCGUGCUUAACACAUGCAAGUCGAACGGAAAGGCCCUGCUUGCAGGGUACUCGAGUGGCGAACGGGUGAGUAACACGUGGGUGAUCUGCCCUGCACUUCGGGAUAAGCUUGGGGAACUGGGUCUAAUACCGGAUAGGAGCCAUCUUUAGUGUGGUGGUUGGAAAGUUUUUUCGGUGUAGGAUGAGCUCGCGGCCUAUCAGCUUGUUGGUGGGGUAAUGGCCUACCAAGGCGGCGACGGGUAGCCGGCCUGAGAGGGUGUACGGCCACAUUGGGACUGAGAUACGGCCCAGACUCCUACGGGAGGCAGCAGUGGGGAAUAUUGCACAAUGGGCGCAAGCCUGAUGCAGCGACGCCGCGUGGGGGAUGAAGGCCUUCGGGUUGUAAACUCCUUUCGCUAGGGACGAAGCUUUGUUGUGACGGUACCUAGAUAAGAAGCACCGGCUAACUACGUG